UUGAGAGAGAGCAAGGGAGAGAGGGAGAACCAGGCUCCCUGCUUGAAUAAAGGCCCACACAUCACAGUGUUCUGGCUGAGGAGAAAGCCGGACGCAGGGCUCAAUCCCAGGAUCCUGGGGUCAUGACCUGAGUCAAAGGCAGACAUUUAACUAACUGGGCCACCCAGGUGCCCCUCAUCAAUGUCUUUUGAAGGACAAAAGUUCUUAGGCUUGAUAAACUAAUUUGUUUUUUUUGUUUUUUGUUUUAUUUGUUUAAUUUGUUCUUUUAUAAUUUGUGCCGGAAUAGCUGAGUGAAGAAUCCGCCGGGUGGAAAUGGCGGUAGAUUAGACGUUACGGAAGAGGAAGUUAGCGAGAUUGAAGGUGUAUGAAGACAAACUGCAAAUGGAACAGAAGGGAUGAAAACAGGCAGCAUCAGUGAGCGGUGCGGCGGUGCCAAGCAGCUGGUGCAUGUGCUGUUAGGCCCAAAGAGCAGGGAUUGCUGAAGACCGAGAAGACGCCUACAGCGUGGGAGAAAACGACAUCUCAUGUCACCAAAAUUAAGGAUUUCUUUUCAACAGAAGCUGGAGAGCAGCAUGAAACAGAUUUUCCCUAAGAGCCCUCAGAAGGAGCCAACCCUGCUGACUUCCGGAUUUCAGACUUCUGGCCUCCGGCAGACUGUGCAAAUGUCCUGCUGUUUUAGGUCUCCCGGUCUAUGGUGACUUGUAGCCUGUAGUCAGCACAGAAAAAGAAGAGUUCGGAGUCUCAGAAAGUCCUAUCAGAUAGGAUUGGUUUAGAAUAUUUGUGGAACUCUUGAAAAUCCAAAGGAAAAAUUCAGAGUGAUAGAAAAAUGUACCAAGAAUAGGAAUAAGCUGUUCCUUCAGGGGAAGUCCUACGUGAUGGAGAGAAGUGACGAAAUGUUAGUGCAUUCUGCAGCAUGGGUUAAUCUCAGAUGGGGUGUUAAGUAAAGACAAUAAAAAUCUGCAGCCCAA